rnacentral:rRNA from 1 species
AACGAACGCUGGCGGCAGGCUUAACACAUGCAAGUCGAACGGUUGUAGCAAUACAGCAGUGGCAGACGGGUGAGUAACACGUGGGAACCUUCCUAGGGGUACGGAACAACUCAGGGAAACUUGAGCUAAUACCGUAUACGUCCGUGAGGAGAAAGAUUUAUCGCCCUUAGACGGGCCCGCGGCGCAUUAGCUAGUUGGUGAGGUAACGGCUCACCAAGGCGACGAUGCGUAGCCGACCUGAGAGGGUGAUCGGCCACACUGGGACUGAGACACGGCCCAGACUCCUACGGGAGGCAGCAGUAGGGAAUCUUCCGCAAUGGACGAAAGUCUGACGGAGCAACGCCGCGUGAGUGAAGAAGGUUUUCGGAUCGUAAAACUCUGUUGUCAGAGAAGAACAAGUUGGAGAGUAACUGCUCCAGCCUUGACGGUAUCUGACCAGAAAGCCACGGCUAACUACGUGCCAGCAGCCGCGGUAAAGUACAGUGU